AACGAACGCUGGCGGCAGGCUUAACACAUGCAAGUCGAACGCCCCGCAAGGGGAGUGGCAGACGGGUGAGUAACGCGUGGGAACAUACCCUUUUCUACGGAAUAGCUCUGGGAAACUGGAAUUAAUACCGUAUACGCCCUACGGGGGAAAGAUUUAUCGGGGAAGGAUUGGCCCGCGUUGGAUUAGCUAGUUGGUGGGGUAAAGGCCUACCAAGGCGACGAUCCAUAGCUGGUCUGAGAGGAUGAUCAGCCACAUUGGGACUGAGACACGGCCCAAACUCCUACGGGAGGCAGCAGUGGGGAAUAUUGGACAAUGGGCGCAAGCCUGAUCCAGCCAUGCCGCGUGAGUGAUGAAGGCCUUAGGGUUGUAAAGCCCUUUCACCGAUGAAGAUAAUGACGGUAGUCGGAGAAGAAGCCCCGGCUAACUUCGUG
rnacentral:rRNA from 1 species